rnacentral:rRNA from 1 species
GACGAACGCUGGCGGCGUGCUUAACACAUGCAAGUCGAACGGAAAGGCCCUGCUUUUGUGGGGUGCUCGAGUGGCGAACGGGUGAGUAACACGUGAGUAACCUGCCCUUGACUUUGGGGUAACUUCAGGAAACUGGGGCUAAUACCGGAUAGGAGCUCCUGCUGCAUGGUGGUGGUUGGAAAGUUUCGGCGGUUGUGGCUGGACUCGCGGCUUAUCAGCUUGUUGGUGGGGUAGUGGCUUACCAAGGCUUUGAGGGGUAGCCGGCCUGAGAGGGUGACCGGCGACAUGGGGACUGAGAGACGGCGCAGACUCCUACGUGAGGCAGCGGUGGGGAAUAUUGCAGAAUGGGCGGAAGCGUGAUGCAGCAACGCCGCGUGCGGGAUAACGGCUUUCGGGGUGUAAACCGCUUUCGACUGUGACGAAGCGUGAGUGACGGUAAUGGGUAAAGAAGCACCGGCUAACUACGUG